GAGGUCCCACCGAGAUUUGAACUCGGAUCGUCAGAUUCAGAGUCUGAAGUGCUAACCAUUACACCAUGGAAC
rnacentral:tRNA from 1 species